GGACCCAUAGUUCAGUGGUAGAAUAUCUGAUUCCAGUUGCGGGUUUCCAGAAGGUCAAGCGUUCGACUCGCUUUGGGUUCA